rnacentral:lncRNA from 1 species
GGACAGUGCUCCGGGGGAAGCGGGCGGCCUCUGCGCGUGGGGACCCUGGCCGGCCGGCGGCUCGGGGAGGCGCCCAGGAAGGACGAGGAAGCGGGGUGGUGAGGGUGCGAGGAGAGCGACUCGGCUUAAGGGGGGAGACCCAGCUCGGGGCGUCACGGAGGGAGGCAACGGCGGGAAAGAUGACAAGGACAUCGGGGAGGAAUCUAGAGGGGUGAGAAAGGCGGCGCAAAGGGACCGAGACCAGAGAGUGACCCAGAAGUGGGGUGGGGACCUCCUCAGGGUGGACACGGAUGGUUGGAGAGAGACAGAUUUACUAAAGAGGUAAAUAAAUCCUCGGAAGCCGAGUGCUGGAGGCGGCCGAGAAGCUGUCAGGGCGCGGCCGUCGCCUCCUCAGGGAAAGCUCUGAGGCAUGGAAGGGCCGCCGGGACCCGCCGGUGCAGGAGCCCGCGAGGGAAGCCGUGUGGGGCGGGGCGCAGGCCUAGGAGGCAGCAGUUGCACCCUGGGGUGAGGGGAAAGGAAGUAGCCAGAGUGAAGGCUUUGAGCGGGUGAUGUCUGUUCUUCGCCUGAAGUGCAGGACCCUUACCACUUCACCCCGAAUCUUCGCUGUUUUCUCCACCCUGAGCUUGCCCCAAAUCUAACCACAGGCAGACACACCCAUAUAAGGGCGGAACUUGGGCAAUCUUAAAAAGAAGUCAUUAAAAAUAAACUCCCUGGGCUUUUAUAGCAGCCUUUUUGUAAAUUAUUUUUAUUCAACAGAGAUAGGGGCCUGCUUUAGAAAGUAGAUGGACAGUGUGCGUGUUGCAGUCUAUUUAAAUUAUGUAUUGGUAAGGUCAGCUCUCCAUGAACUUUGAAAUCAUGUAAUUGUUUCAAAAGCGAAACCAUUCACUUAAGACUUGUUUUAACCAACCUAUACCUCCAUCCCCACCCCGCGCCUUCCAGAGUAAUUAAAUGUAAAUAUAUAUAAAUGUAUACAGUAAGUCCCUGACUUAGGAGCUUUCGAGCUUCAAACUUUGACAGGUGCCAAGGGACCUCCGAUUACGAACAUUCAUAAAUGCAAACAAAUUGCGGAAGUAGCGCGUGUCCGCUGGACGUUGUCACAGUUGUGCCGCUUGUGCUUACUGCAUAGUGUGAUAGUGUAAUACUACUCAAACAUCGGGAUCUUUUUUCAAGAGUGUAGACAAUUGAAUCCAUCAAAACUCCUGUGUCGGCCAGGUGUGGUGGCACCUGCUUGUAACCCCAGCACUUUGGAGCCUGAGGCUGCGAAUUCAAGGCCUGCCUGGGCUACAUAGUUCAAAGGCAGCCUGCACUAUACAGUGAGACCCUGUCUCAAAAAAUAAACAAAAAACCCCUGUUUGAGCAGAAUUCUAUCUUGCCCUCCAUCUGCCAUUGCAGAUGGUCCUUCAGCUCCACCUUCUCCUCCCACCCUCCCUCUUCCAGUUAGUAAGGCUCUUCUUGUCAGUUGACCCCAUGUGCCAGUUGUAGUGUACCAUCAUUUUUUUUUGAGGCAAGACAUUUAUUUGUACCACCAUUUUAGGGUAACUAUAAAGUAAAAAUUGUUUGUUUAGAGUAUUUGUGUGUGAGUGUGUGUUUGGUGUUUUUAUGCUUUACAUUGUGUAUCUGUGUCAAAGGUAUAAGACUCACUUUGUCCAACUUAACAAAGGAAUACGACUUAGGAAGCGUCUCCCCAAACAGAACUUGUCCCUAAGUCGGAGACUAACUCUAUAUGCAUUUCUUUCUUUGAUGCGGUCAGGAAAAGUGUCCAAAAUGUGGAAAUGGGCAAGAGAGAUUACUGCGUGUCCUUUCAGUGGGGUGCUGGAUUGGGUGCUGUUUGUUAGAACUUCACGAGAUUAUCUGAUUCUAAAGUGUCUGUACCCUCGUGGACUUCCUAUUGACUAGGUAUUUUCCAGCUCUGUAUGGGUGGAAGUUAACUUGUAGGAAACUGGUGAUAGCACAAAAGAUCCUUGUUCAUAGCAAUGAAAAUGCAUGUUUUCUAGUAGAAAUAUAAGUGAUUUCUGCCAGGUAAAAAAAUAAGAAACUCAAUAAUUACACUUUGUCCUGUGUGAUGUUAACUAGUUAAACCAGUUUGGCUUCUAUCAGCAAACACAUUUCAUUGGCUCAUGCCUGUGAUCCCAGCACUCCUGGAGGCUCCUGGGCAACUUAGCAUUUUAGCAAGACCUUGUCUCAAAAAUGGAAAGAUCUGAGGAUGUAACUCAAUAUGAAGGCCCUCGGUUCAAUCCCCAGUACUGAAAAAAAAUUUUUUUUUCAUCCUAAUUUCAAAUUCCUUUGUACUUUAAUACAUUACUAGUUCUCCUUUGAAGUCAACAUCUUACUGAAUCUUAAUUGGACAGAAUCUUAGGCUGAAUCUCAGAUUGCUUGUUUGUGUGGUACUGGGAAUUAAACUCCAGGCCUUUGCCCUGAGAUACAUCCCCAGCCCUUUUUUAUUAUUUUUAUUUACUUAUUAUUCCUUUAUUUUUGAGAUAGUGUCUCACUAAAUUGUCCAGGCUGAACUCAAACUUGUGAUUCUGCUGCCUCAGCCUCCCAGAGUACUAGGAUUAUGUGUACACAACAUCAUGCCCAGCAGAUAGAUUUUAAUUUUACUUUUGCAUGAGUCGUGUUUUUGAAGAAUUAUACUUUAGCACAAUCCAUGUUAUUGUAUAGUCUAUAUCAGAUUGAGUGAUUUUUAAAAAUUAUUUUUGCUGGGCAUGGUGGUGCACAACUGUAAUCCAGGCUAAGGCAAGAAGAUUGCAAGUUCAAGGCUAGCCAAGGCAAUCUGGUGAGAUGCUAUCUCAAAAUCAAAAUAAAAAGGGCUUGGGCCGGGGCUUUAGCUCAGUGGUUUCGCCACCUGCUGCGCAAACGCAAGGACCCUAGUUCAAUCCCUGGUACCAAAAACAAAAAAUAAAUGAAUAAAAAGGGCUGGAGAUGUAGCUCAGUGGUACAGCGCUUACCUAGCAUGUGUGAGAUCCUGGGUUCAAUCCCUGUUACUGAAAAAAAUAAAACCUUUUUUAUGGGCUCACUUUUUUCCUUAAAAAAAAAAUUUUUUUUUCAGUACUGAAGCUUGAACUCAGGACCUUGCAUUUGCCAGGCAGGUGCAGCACCACUGAGCUACAUCCCCAGCCCCUCAAAAAAAAAUUUCUUUUUUUUGGCACCAGGGAUCAAACUCCGGUCCUUGUGCUUAUGGGGCAGGUGGCAGAACCACUACGCUAAAUCCCCGACCUCCUCCAAAUUUUUUUAAUGUACUUAUUAUUCACUCAGUGGCAAGUUCAUUGGAUCACAACAUGAAAGAUUAUCUCCUCAUUAGUAUUUACCACAAGAAUUAAAACAAUAUUGAAAUAGUGUUAAAUUUAGAGCAAAGAGAUUAUUGGUGAGAAAACAUUAGGCUUUAAAAAAGUUCUUUUAAGGGUGACAGAUACAUCAACACCUUCUAAAAGAGGGUUUGGAGAGCACACUUUCUUCUAUGACAUUUAUAUUUUAAUAGCCUCAUCGAAGAGUUUUCUGGGGGUUUUUCAUCAAAGAGUUUUGAUGCUUGAUUUCAAGAUGGCAUCUUCAGCCCUGAAAUUCUCUCUCUCCUUCACAAAUCCCAGGGUAAAGGCCAAAGAUACACUGUAGUAUAAGAAUACAGUAUUUGGUUUUGUCCCAGGUUCCUGUCACAGAGCUUCUAAAGCCCUGGAAAUCUCCUGAGUGUAGUAGUAUCUUUGAUAUUCAUAAUAAGCCCCUUUUAGAAUACCUGAGUUUAGACUGAGGAGAUGACUUACUUGGUCCCUCUGGAAACCCUGAGGAUGGAGAGGCCAUCCUCAGAAAAACCAGGCAGUCAAAAGGUUGGAAUUUUCAGUCCCACCCACCAAACUCUAGGAAAGAGGAGCUAAAGAUAAAACUAUAAAAACUCCAGAACAAUAAGAUUUGAUAUUUUUUUCAGGUUGGCCUUAAGCUCAUUAUGUAGCCUGGGGUGGCCAUGAACUUGAGGCGAUCCUCCUGCCUCUCAGCCUCCUGAGUGCUGGGAUUACAGGCAUGUGCCACCACACCCAUCAUGAGAUUUGAUGUAUGGGUCACUAAAAUAGUGGAGAGGCCAGGAGGGUGGUAGGCCCAGAGAGGGAAUGGAAGCCCCACUCCACCUCCAUACCUUGCUUCUCUUUACCUGGCUGUUCAUCUGUAUCUUUUAUAAUCUCCAUUUAAUUGAUGUAAGUAGUGUUUUUGUGAGUUCUGUGAACCAUCCUAGCAAACUACUGAACUCCAGAUUGGGGACCAGGAACCCCAAUUUAUAGCCAGUCGGAAACUCAGGUCAUGGGCUGGCAAUGUGGCUCAGUGCUGUGCCUGCCUGGCAAGCACAAGGUCCUGAGUUCAAUCCCUGGUACCACAAAAAAAGAAAAGAAACACAGGUCACAACCUGGCACUUGGCAUUGCCAUCUGAAAUGGGGGCGUGGGUUUAUGGGACAGGUAGAUAGGUGUCAGAAUUGAACUGAAUUAUAGGACAUCCAGCUGGUGUCUCCUGGAAAAUAGCUUGGUGGUGUUAAAUCGAACUAAAUUUGGGCCAGUCCUAUGUACCAAACUGUAGCUUAAUUUAGUUUGUAAACAAACUGAAAACCAACUGAGGAAUGUGCCUUUGUAAGAAAUAACUUAGUCUCAGUUGAUCCCAUAUUUACCAUAGCCAAAAGGUACAUGCAAACCUAAAACAGAUGAAUGGAUAAAUAAAUGUGGUUUAUAAUCUACAGUAUUAUUCAGCUAUAAAAAGGAAGUUCUGACACAAGCUACAGCCUUGCAGAAUUAUGCUAAAUUAAAGAGACCACUCACAAAAGAACGGUACUAUAUAAUUUCACUCACAUGGGAUAUUUAGAGUAGUCAAAUAUAGAGACAAGAGAAUGGUGGUUGCCAGGGAUGGGGGUGGGGGGCGGUCGUGUAUAAUGGAUAUAGAAUUUCAGUUCUUUGAGAUGAAAAAAAGCUUUGUGGAUGGUUAGUGGUGAUAUUUGCACCACAACAUGAAUGUACCUAAUACUUAACUGUGCACUUAAAAAUGGUUAAAAUAGUAAAAUUUAAAAGACCUCAAAAAUCACGUUAACUUAUUUUUACCAGAGACACAAGUAUAUAGGGCUUUCCAAAGCAAAUGUGGAUCCUGACAAAUAGAUACAGCAUCAGAUUUACAGGAAAAGUCCCUUGGAGAGCCUCAGUUCCCCACCCCUUCUUAUAUCUCCAGAUUUUUUUUUUUUAAUUAGUAUUUCAAAACAGAAUGUCACUAAGUUGCGAAAUUGCCUGGGCUGGGCUCAAACUUGCAAUCUUCCUGCCUCUGUUCCUCCUGCUUAGGCUUCCCAGAGUCCUGGGAUGACAGGGAUGCGCUGUCAUACCUGCCUCCACCCACCAUCUAAGACACAAAUAAGGGAUUCCAGGAGAGCCUUGAGCAGGCUGUGGGGCCCAGGAGUGUGUGGAGAGGCUGGGAGACAAAUACUGUGGAAGGAUUUCAUUUUGAACACUGGCUCACUCUUUCUAGGCCUUUCCCCAGGGUGCACUUCACAGUGCCUGCCUGCAAUGCAAAGUUUGGGGUUUGCCUGGUGGGUUCCAAUCUGGGUAUAAGGCCAGGAAAGAGGACAGGGAGUUUGGAUAUCAAAUAUUGUAGGUGUCUCCUGGAAAAAUCCAUUGCUUGGUGACCACACUCCUGGCUAAAAAUGAUAUUCUGCUUUUCCCAGAAGCUGGUUUGGGAAGACUACUAGCAGGCCUGCAAAUUAUACAUAAACAGUUUAUAUGUGCUUGUUUUCAGGAAUGGCUUGACUGUCUCAUUUUCAUGAGCCUGAGGUACUCUGGUGUUGGACUUUUUGCUUGACAUUUGCAUGAACAGGAAUAGUUUACAUGUUUGAAGUUUAUGAAUUCUAUCAGUUAAAAAGUUGUGGUUUUCAAACUGAUGAAAGUAAGAGUCCCGUCUGUUAACAGCCUACUCCACCCGCACACAUCUACCCCUAGCUGAUGACAUCUGAGAACACUUGAAGGCCACUGUGAAAGGAGACCCAGCACUCCUCCUAGAAUGAAAUCAUCAUGUCAAGCAAUUUGGGUCCUGUCCUGGAGAAAUGUCCCUGCUGCUAUAUCUAGGAAGUCCACUGGAGCCCACUUCCGGACCCAGGAUCAGCUGAGCAGCUUCACAGCCACUCACUGCCCUGACGAGAAAGCAGCCAGACCUCAGAAGCAAAUCAGCAGGGCCAGCACCACUGUUGAGGAGGCCCAAAGGCUGUGAAGGCUGAGCUCCAGAUCCUCAUUGAUAAAAGCCAGCUGACAGCGAAGACCCCUUAUUAUCAGCGACCUCAGCCAACACACAACCUUCAAAACAUACUUUCUCCAGUUAUUUUGCAGUUUUAUUGGUUUCUUGCUAACCAUGUUGCUUGUAGCCCAUGUCUUCCUCUUUCCCCUCUCUUCUUCCUCCUUCUUUACCUUCUCUUGGUGGAUCUUCAUGUGUCUCUUGCAGAAAGCAUUCCUGGAUGGCAAACUUUUCGAAUCUUUGCAUGUGUGAAUACAUGUUAAUGUUGCUCUCACUUCAUUGUGGAUGAACUGGGUAUGGAAUCCUGGAUUCAGAAUAUUUAAGUGAUACUUCAUGAGGUAUAAAUUCUGAAUUCAGAAUAAUUUUCUGUCAGAAUUUGGUAAAACAUUUCCUUGAUAUUUGUACGACCUUGAAUUUGAUCCCCAUAGCUGCCAAAGAUAAAAAAUUGAAAAACUGAAAAAAGCCUUCUGUUCCCCUGGAUCCUCACACACACACACACCUUUUGGGAUUUCCCAGGAACCCAGACAUUUCCUGAGGAUACAGUGUUUCAUUAUUCCUUUUCAGCACUCAUGAGUCCCUUUCAAUUUGUAGACUUGAGCCUUUCUUCAGGAGAGAUUUAAAAAACACUUUUAAUAUUUCAUUCCUUCAAUUUUUUCUAUUUGUCCUUUCUGGAACUUUUGGUUGAAAAUUUAAAAAAAAACAAAAGAACAACUUGCCUGUAGCCUCCAUGACUCUUAGUAUUUUUCUUACUUGCUUCCUUUUCUUGCCUUUAUUCACAGAAUAUGGGAGAUUGCCCUAACUCAAUUUUGUGAACUUCCUCUUUGCAAAUUUGAUCUCCAUCCAUGCCCAUUUUGCUCUACUUCAGCCAUCUGUUGCAAGAUUUUUUUUUUUAUAUCAGCAGUCAUCCUUCUAAUUCCCAAGAACCCUACUUCUUUUUAUAGGGUGGGUCUUAUUUCUGUACUGGUGAUAACUUUGGUCCCAUCAGGAGGUUGUACACUUACUUGUUACAUUUAAUGAUUCUGCAGGUGGCUUUCCCUAAUUGCAUAAUUUUUUGUUUUUUGUUUUUUGUUUUGUAUUGGGGAUCAAACUCAGGACCUUUUGCUUUCAAGGCAGGUGGUGGCACCACUGAGCUAAAUCCCCGGCCUGCUGUUUGUUUGUUUUUUAAUUGCUUGGUUUUUGUUGUUGUUGUUUGGGUUUUGUUUUUUGAGACAGGGUCUCAUCAUGUAGUUCAGGCCAACCUCAAACUCACUAUGUGCCCCAGGCUGGCUUCGAAGUCUUGGUGAUCCACCUGCCUCAGCCUCCUGAGUGCUGAGAUUACAGGGAUCUGCCACCAAGUCCAGUGCAAUUGCAUGAUUUUUGACUGUCCUCAUUUCUGCUUAAGGGUCUUGGCCCUUUGACAUUAAGAGUUGAGACAUGUGUCUCCAGCCCGGGUGAGAUUCCCUGCUGUGUUAGGAAUAAAUGAAGAUUUGGGUACAGAGGUUCCAGCUCCAAGGACUGUGCAGAGCAGGAGGCAAAGGUGGGAGGUAAGGAAAGUAGUGCCUGGAACCUCUCUCUUGGCUACCACAGCAAACCUGGGACAGUGGCCACUUUCUCUGGUUCCGAUGCCUUCUCUGGGAGCCUCUUCUUUCAUGAUUUGCAUCUUAAUUUGGUAGGUAGUAAGCUUCACUUAAAAGUUUCACUUCAGGGGCAAAAGUAGAAAUCAGCUACUUUUUUGUUUGUUUAGUGCUGAGUAUUGAACCCAAGACCUUAUGCACGCUAAGCCUGUGCUCUACCACUGAACCACAACCCCUCAGCUCCAGCUUUGAGCUGCUUCUAAAACAGCCAAGAAUGAUGCAGAUGGGAGAAGAUAUUUGUGGCUCCUGCUCAUGAUUGUUUCAGUUUCUUUUUACUGGCCUCUCUGGAUUUCUAAGAGAGUUUACUUCUCCAGGGACCCUCUUUUUCUACUUUUAUGUAGGUGUUUAGGCACCUUGGCUCUGUGUGGUUUUGUUUUUGUUUUUGUUUUUUGUUUUGGGGGGCUCUGUGUGUUUUAUCAAUCUGCUUCAUAUCUUUCAUUAAUCAGUCCUUUUUAAAAAAAUAAGUCAGGGCCGGGGAUUUAGCUCAGUGGUUCCACUGCUUGCCUCGAAAGCACAAGGACCUGAGUUCAAUCCCCGGUACCAAUAAAUAAAUAAAUAAAUAAAUAAAAUUUAAAAAGGUCAGUCCUAUUUUGGUGCUCUGACAAUAACUGGCCUGGAUUUCCAGUGUUGCUUUCAAGUGAAUCACUUCUAGGGAUUGGUUUGUUUGGUUUGAGGUGUAACUGCAAAGUAGAAAAAGCAUGCUCAAACUCAAUUUCUCCUAUGAUAUACUCUUCACAGACCACUUCUGUGAGCCUGAAAAGUGUGGGGAUUUCUCCUCACCAGCAACCAAGCAAUCAGUUCUGCAGCAAACACUAGACUGGUGUUCUCUAGCCCAAUUCAGUUCUGACACUACUUGGAGUUUUACUGGAGGUAGAGUCAAAUUCCACAGAUCGAGGACUCAGUCCCCAUGUCUGCUCCUAUUUCAGACCCAGUCAGAAAUCUAGGCCUCUGGAAUUUCUGGCCAAUUAGCUUUAAACUGGAGUUCUCACCAAUUUGAUUAAUUUGCUAGAGCAGCUCAGAGUGGUUUAUUGUAAAGGAUUUUUUUUUUCCUCUUGUGUUGCUGGAGAUUGAACCCAGGGCCUUCACACUGAGCUAUAUUCCCAGCAUUUAAAAAACAAAAUUUGAGGCCUCUCUAAGCUGCUUUUCUUUGGGAGUGCCGUCUGGCCAGACUAAGGUCUGUUUUACUUUCCAACUUGUCUGGUGUGUUCCUUCCCGGGUGUUCUUCGCUGCAGUCAGCUCCUUGGAGCGUUUGGUAAGGCCCUUGGUCUUACAUUCUGGAGGCACCGCUGGGAUCCCUGGGUGUGCUUCACUGCAGUCAGCUCCUCGGAGCAUUUGGUAAGGCCCUUGGUCUUACAUUCUGGAGGCACCACUGGGAUCCCUGGGUGUGCUUCACUACAGUCAGCUCCUCGGAGUGUUUGGUAAGGACAGCGGUCUUACAGCCCAUAAUCAAAUCAGUAACUUUGGGAAAAUGCUGUGAUUUUGGAAUCAUGUCACAAUCAGAAAAUGAAAUUUUAAAGUUAUUAGAGUACUCUCAAUGAUAUAAAAAUUAGGAAACAUGAUAUUUCAGUGGAUUUUGACAAUAAACAAUAUGAAAGCAAAAAAAAAAAAAAAUUUUUGAGACAAGUACUCACUAUGUCAUUAAGUUGCCCGAGAUGGGCUCAAACUUGUGAUCCUCCUGCCACAGCCUCCCAGAGUGCUGGGAUUACAGGUGUGCACCACCGCCCUCGGGUUGUAAAGAAUAUUUCAAAGGACACAAAUAAGCAGCCAGACAAAGGGGUAUUUAGGGCACUGUCUAAAAGGCACGUGAGUGAAUCUUAUUCACCUCCCUGUGAGCUUCCAUGUGUUCAGGUGUCCAGACACUCUUUGAAUUUGGUCCUUUUGGGAAUUUUAUGGAGACUUCAUGGCAUAGGCAUGACUGCUGAUAGCCUGGGCAGGGAGCCCUGUGAAGCUUGCCUGUUCAGAUUCUUCAGCAUUCCUUCCUCCUGAUUAUGGAGAACCAUCUGGAAUGAGGAAGGUCUUAUGACCUAUUACUGGAUGACAUACAUGAGAGAAUUUUUCACAGGCAGCUAAAGGUGGAGGAAAAUUAGAAUUUCUUUCUACCUUCAAGAAGAGAAAUUCUAGUUCCUGUGUCCUGCCUCAAGAUGAACAGAGUUCUUAACUUUAGUGAUACUAGCUUAUUAAUAUUUUCUUUUAUGGUUAGUGCUUUUGUGCCCUGUUCAAGAAAUCCU